rnacentral:rRNA from 1 species
UACGGAGGAUGCAAGCGUUAUCCGGAUUUAUUGGGUUUAAAGGGUGCGUAGGCGGAAUAAUAAGUCAGUGGUGAAACCCUGCAGCUUAACUGUAGACUUGCCAUUGAUACUGUUAUUCUUGAGUGUGGUCAAGGUAGGCGGAAUGUGUAGUGUAGCGGUGAAAUGCUUAGAUAUUACACAGAACACCGAUUGCGAAGGCAGCUUGCUGGGCCAUUACUGACGCUGAUGCACGAAAGCGUGGGGAUCGAACAGG